UGUCAAAUCCUUCAUGGACGUUUCCUCUCUUGCGAUUCAUCAGUUGAGUGAUUGGAUCAAGGAAUGUUCCUUGUACGACCACAAGGAAGAAAAAAUUGUGGGAAGAAUGGGAAAGCAACAGAUUAGAUUUGCAUAUAUUGAGUAAAAGUACAGAUGCAUGAGUCACAAAGAUGGAGCAGAUUCGAACAUUCAUACUCUUUAAGACAAGUACACUAUUCUAAACAAUGUUAUUCUUUUGUCAGUUUGAGACAUUUAGAUUUACGCAAGUUAGUAUAGUUUUACUUUAGAACUAUAAGAGUUGAUUGGUUAGUUAGGUUGUUGUGUGAACUGAAUACGAUUGUUUUGAUUAGUAAUUAGUCAUUAAAUUAUAUUAGUUUAAAUUAAAUUUUGAAACAUAAACUAAAAAUAUAGGAUGCAUCUAAUAUAUCUCAUCAUUUUAAUGCAAUCCACAUAAAAACCCAGCUUAUUAUUAAAUAUAGGAAAUUCAAAUAACACAAAAAAAAAAAAAAAAAAAAACAGAAAGCCUCAAAUCGAAAGUACGGAAUAAAUCAAAGCAUAACAACUUGAAAAUAGGGAAAGGAGUCCGAUAUCGGAAAGAAACUUCUUAGAUCUUCAGCCUAAUCAUUCUUGAUCUUCUCUUGUUUGAUGAUCUUGAUGCAUUGUUUCUUAGAAGAAGAUGUUAGGUCCUGUAGGUCGUAAUUAUCUUCCUUGCGCUUUGUUAUAGGAGUUGGACACUCAUCAAAUGAAAUUUGAUCCAACAUCAUGGCCUAAAUCCAUUUAAAAUUUUAGGUUUUGUUAGAAACUAUGAUAACACACACAGUAAUAAAAACAUGUAAGGCAAACACUUAAUAAAUAAAAAAAUAUACUUACUGAUCCAGAUGACAUGGUGGAAGAAGUAGUGACCAUAUCAGAAUUAAAUUGAGAGUCAGUCUCGAUAGUAAGAACUUUAUCUCCAGUACAAACCUCUAAAACAACAAAAGUGUAUGAACUAUUUGUGACAUUGUCUGAGGUUAUGGAAAUACCAAAACAGAAAGACUUUCCAACCAAACUAAGAAUAGGUUCUGAUAGUAUCUCUGGAUCUUCAGUCUGAUAGAAAGAAGAAAUAUAAGGAGUUAAAUCUUAACUAUUAUCGUGGGAAAAAGUAACAGCAAAACACAAAUUCAUAUAAAAAUAUACCUCCUCAUAAGAGCCAUCCCAUAAUUCUUCAGCAUCCACUGCAACGAUAGACUUACCAACAGAGCCUAGCAACAUCAAAUUACAUGUUGCAGAGUCAUCUUUGACAACCAAAUGUAGCUUGAAUCUAUUAAAAAAAAACAAAAACUCAGGAUAUA